ACACAUGCAAGUCGAACGGCAGCACAGAAGAGCUUGCUCUUUGGGUGGCGAGUGGCGGACGGGUGAGUAAUGUCUGGGAAACUGCCCGAUGGAGGGGGAUAACUACUGGAAACGGUAGCUAAUACCGCAUAACGUCGCAAGACCAAAGUGGGGGACCUUCGGGCCUCACACCAUCGGAUGUGCCCAGAUGGGAUUAGCUAGUAGGUGGGGUAAUGGCUCACCUAGGCGACGAUCCCUAGCUGGUCUGAGAGGAUGACCAGCCACACUGGAACUGAGACACGGUCCAGACUCCUACGGGAGGCAGCAGUGGGGAAUAUUGCACAAUGGGCGCAAGCCUGAUGCAGCCAUGCCGCGUGUAUGAAGAAGGCCUUCGGGUUGUAAAGUACUUUCAGCGGGGAGGAAGGCGGUGAGGUUAAUAACCUCGCCGAUUGACGUUACCCGCAGAAGAAGCACCGGCUAACUCCGUGCCAGCAGCCGCGGUAAUACGGAGGGUGCAAGCGUUAAUCGGAAUUACUGGGCGUAAAGCGCACGCAGGCGGUCUGUUAAGUCAGAUGUGAAAUCCCCGGGCUUAACCUGGGAACUGCAUUUGAAACUGGCAGGCUUGAGUCUCGUAGAGGGGGGUAGAAUUCCAGGUGUAGCGGUGAAAUGCGUAGAGAUCUGGAGGAAUACCGGUGGCGAAGGCGGCCCCCUGGACGAAGACUGACGCUCAGGUGCG
rnacentral:rRNA from 1 species